AUGGCAGGUGCCAGCACUGAGCUCUUGCUGCAGCCAGCUCUGAUGUGUCCCCUCCUGUUCCCACAGGCGCCGGCGUUCCCGGUCGUCGGUGUGGGUGGCGUCCCCGGCCUCGUGCCCGGAGUCGGAGGUGUCCCCGGGGUGGUGCCCGGUGUCGGAGCUGUCCCCGGGGUGGCAGGGGUGCCGUCGGCAGCAGCAGCAGCAAAGGCAGCUAAGUACGGCGCCGGUGUUCCCGGUGUCGGUGUGGGUGGCGUCCCCGGCCUCGUGCCCGGAGUCGGAGCUGUCCCCGGGGUGGUGCCCGGAGUCGGAGCUGUCCCCGGGGUGGCAGGUGACUGUUCCAGGAGCCCUGUCCCCGUGGCCCGGCUCUGCAGGGCCAUGGUGGCUGAGGCUCCGUGUCUCCCUUGUCCCCAGGGGUGCCGUCGGCAGCAGCAGCAGCAAAGGCAGCUAAGUACGGCGCCGGUGUUCCCGGUGUCGGUGUGGGUGGCGUCCCCGGCCUCGUGCCCGGAGUCGGAGGUGUCCCUGGGGUGGUGCCCGGAGUCGGAGCUGUCCCCGGGGUGGUGCCCGGUGUCGGAGCUGUCCCCGGGGUGGCAGGGGUGCCGUCGGCAGCAGCAGCAGCAAAGGCAGCUAAGUACGGAGCUGGCGUUCCUGGCAUCGCUGGCAUUCCUGGUGUUCCUGGCGUUCCUGGUGUUCCUGGAGUUCCCGGUGUCCCUGGUGUUCCAGGUGUUCCUGGUGUGCCUGGGGUUCCUGGUGCUGUUCCUGGUGUUGGAGUUGGUGGCCCGGCAGCAGCGGCCGCAGCCAAGGCUGCAGCGAAAGCAGCGGCGAUCGGAGCAGGACGUGUUCCUGGUGUUGGUGUUCCCGGUGUUGGCGUUCCAGGUGUUGGUGUUCCCGGUGUUGGCGUUCCCGGUGUUGGCGUGCCUGGAGUGGGUGUGCCAGGUGUUGGCGUGCCCGGUCUGGUGCCUGGGGUCGGCGUUCCAGGUGAGAUGGUGCCCAAGGGAUGCUCGGAUGUCCCCAGCAGUGCUGGUGGGACGCGUUCCUGAUC
rnacentral:lncRNA from 14 species